GAGCACAGCUUGAUCUCAUCUCUGCCCCCCAGGAAAGCUAUUUCCUCAGCAGUGGAAAAGCAGGUGUUCCUAACUCCUUGGGCCAUUGCAUAAGGCAAACUCUUCAGGGGAGCUGAGCACAGGCUAGGCUUGUUCUCCUGGCCCCACCCAGGCUUGAAGACAGGCCCAGCUGAGAGAGAAGUCACCUCCCCAAACCUGCCUCUCCACUGGGGUACCAGGAUCUUAGGAAGAUGGCCCUGUAGCUGGGGUGGGCAAGAAGAAUAAGAGAAGCCACAGAAUCAUAGUGGCACAAUCUUCUUAAUUCUACCUGAAGAUUUGGACAAGAAAGCCGUAGCUUUGAGCUUGCUCCAUCUCUCCACCUGCCCAGCUAGAGGAGAUGAGGAUAUGACCAGAAGUCUCUGUGGACUCCGUGUGUCUGUGGCUGCUUCACCCAGAUCCCUGCAGAGCCUGGUGCUCUCCAGUCCACAGUACAGGCUUGGGGCAGAGGGCGGUGAGCACUGCAGCCAAGCCCAGCGCCUCAGCUGGGAACCCUCGCUUCCUAUUCAUGGCUUGGGCAGCACCUGAAAGGAACAUUACUUCACCAAGCAGCCAGCCUGGGCUCUCUGUGGGAAAUUUCACACACGCAGGCACGCACUCACUCUGCACCAGAGAACACGCAUAGCUUUUUGGCACAAAUGUGAACCUUAAGUCGCUCCUGCCUCUUAAAUGCACUGCAUCUUUCUCUCAUGUGCAGCGCUACUUGUAAGACCAACAGCUGUUUUUCUGAUGAUUCCUGCCCAUUUGGGAGAUUUAACUCUAUGGCCUCCUUCUGCCCUUUGCCGGCCUCCAUGACAGCUGAAGAGCAGAGCCUUGCAAUUACGAGGCCCUGAGCAGAUUCGCAAGGGCAGAAAGUGCAUGCUGUGGGGCUUCCAUCACCAAAACAAGGCCUCGCCAUGAGUUCAGGUACAUUUUUCUCAACUUUUUUUUUUUUGAAGGUACUAAUGAUUGAACUCGGCCUUUGUAUUCUGCUACAUCCCCAGUCCCUUUUUUUUUUUGGUUGAGAGGCGUCUCCCUAAGUCAUUACAUGGUCCAGGCUGGGCACGAACUUGGGUUCCUAUUUCAGCCCCUCCAGAGUACUGGGAUUCCAAGCGUGUGAGUCACCACCAUCCCAGCUUUCAGCCAACUCGCCUCAAUUCUCUUACUUAGAGCUCAUCUAUGUCACUGAGUGGUGAUGCCGAGUCACGUGGGGUUAGAAACCAGUGCCAGCAUGCUGACACCGUGGCUACUGCUAUUUCUGGUAGUAACAGACUGUUCUCUGACUCAGGAGUCUCAUGUCUUCUACCAGCAUCUGUGAAACUGGUAGGUCAACUGCUUCUCCCACCCACAAGUCAGAUAUGGAGCAGCCUGGGAGCCCCUUGAGCACAGCAGCUCUAGGACCUGCUCAGACAGCAGGGUGACAGUGGCAGUGGUGGCCAGCAAUGCUGUCCUCCAGGCUUCUGCUCAAACGUCAUCUUGCCAGAGUGGUCUCCCCUGGCCAUCCCAUCCCCCAGGACAUCUGUGCCUUUGGAGGCUGUCACCUCUGUGCCUUUAUCUUGAUUUUCUGUCCUUCACACUUAUACCAUGUGUCAUUUCCUGUAUUUAUUUGUUGUCUGCAUUCCCCUACAUGACUGCAGAUUCUGUCCAAGAAGGGGAUUCAGUUUGUAGCUAUGAUACUGCCACUAAGGACAGUGCCCUGCACAGGAGGUGAGGCUGUCAGACCAGAAAGUUCUCUGGGUCCCUUCCAAGUCCUCUCACCCAGGUAACCACUGUUCUGAUGUCUAGGAUUAUCUUUGCUGAUUCCUGAACUUCAUAUAAAUAGGAUGUGUUCAUAUGAACAUACUGAGCGGAUGUGCUUGUCUGUGUCUUUGCAUUGCUGUGUGUCUCAGGAGCAGCUUGCUCUUCUUUUAUAGCUGUAAUAUUCCACUCAUGGAUAUAUCUCCAUUUAUGGGUAUACCAUACUUUGUUUACAAUUCUUCUGUUGAUGAGCAUUUGUGUGG